rnacentral:misc_RNA from 1 species
GAUGAAGAACGUAGCGAAAUGCGAUAAGUAAUGUGAAUUGCAGAAUUCAGUGAAUCAUCGAAUCUUUGAACGCAUCUUGCGCUCCUUGGUAUUCUGAGGCGCAUGCCUGUUUGAGUGUCAUUAAAUUCUCAACUACACUGACUUUGAAUUGGUGUGGCUUGGAUUUGGGGGGAAAAUUGUUGUGGGCUUUUUGUAUAGUCUGCUCCCCUGAAAUUGAUUAGCGGUACCUUUGUGGAACUGUCUACAGGUGUGAUAAUUAUCUACAUCUUAGACAUCUGCUGGAAUGCUGCUUUCUAAACCUUACUUGUAUUGACAAUCUUGACCUCAAAUCAGGUAGGACUACCCGCUGAACUUAAGCAUAUCAAUAAGCGGAGGA